UUCUUUCUUUCUCUUUCUUUUCUUUCUUUUUUUUUUCCUCAAUUAAAGACCCGCUCCUACUGGAUGUGAAGAUGAGUUUUGAAAUGACAUCUACACUACGUCUGGUGUUUCUGACACCAAUUAUUCUGUUGUACUUAAUGUCUUAUCAUUUCUGGAUGAGGCACAAACUCCAUGGACUCUGCUAACAAGAACAUUAUGCAGUGUAAAAUAGAACUUGGAAAUCUGGACACCAUGCUAAAGAAUAUAACUGUGUGURAUACAGAAGAGGAUUCAUGUGCUGGUUGCCGCCUUCUAGUAUAAACUUCAGAGGAAAGCUAUUCCAUUUAAAUUUAUCAUCAAAUCACUACCAAUGUUUUCAACAUUCAUUCAUAAUUCACAAGAACUGUAGUGAUGGAAAAUGUAUUUCUUUAAGAAGUUACAUAUAAGCAGAUACAGAACAGACAGUUAAAGGCUUCUUUGAAUGAUUUUAUGAGCUGCAUGCUUUAUUUGUAAAAAUAAUCUGACUCCACCUAAUUCAUGCCCGUUUACCUCAGCAAGCCUUUGUCCCUAUAGUAACAGUGGGAUGAAAGAGAAUAGUUGCUCUCUCCAAGUCUGAUACUAGACCCACUCCAGGAGUCAAUGAAAGCAUUUCCAUCUCAUCUGAAAACACCAGCAAGUGCCUUUCUGAAUGUUAAAAAUGAAUAUCGAAAGAAAAACAAAACAAGCUAGGGUUCUGAUUUGUUGCAAUAUCUUUUGAAAGGUAAGAAUUGCUGACAGCAAAUGCAUGGCAUUGUUUGAGAUACUGUUUAUUUUCCCUGUAUAUCAGGAAUUACCUGUAUUACCUGAGAUACCACCAUGGGUAGCACCCAAGCUUCAUGUGCCUCUAACAGGAUAGGCAGCCUUGCUGCCAUUGAGGCUCAUGUGRGCCCAUCAUCUCUCCCACCUGUGCCUGAGCAUCCAGUGGGAGCCCGCUGUGCAGAAUGCACAGUCGCGCAACAGG